UGAGUUUGAUGAUGGCUCUGAUUGAACGCUAUCCAAGUGCUUGACACAUGCUAAUCGUACGACAUCAUGUUAAAAAAUGAUGUAGUGGUGUACAGGUGAGUAAAUAAUAUUUUGGCUACCUUAAAGAAAGGUUAAAUACCUUAUAUAAGAAAGAAAUUAAUAUUUCGCUUUAAGAUGUUAAUAAAUAUUCUCGGUGAAUAUAUAGUAGUAGAAAAGGUAAUAUCUUAACUAGCUAUAAACCGUAGUCGUGACUGAGAGGUCGAUCGAUCACAUUGGGUCUGAAAAAACCCCAAUGCGUAUUAGUACAGCAGUGAGGAAUAUUGGUCAAUGGCCUAACGGCUGAACCAGCAACUUGGGGGAAUAAAUAUAAUGAUAUAAAUAAUAUCAUUAUUUUUCUAAAUAGGAUAAUGAUUAUGACAAUUUUCUAUUUAUAAGUCUUGACCAAAUUACGUGCCAGCAGUCGCGGUAAUACGUAGAAGACAAGUGUUAGUCAUCUUGAUUGGGUUUAAAGGGUACCUAGACGGUAUAAUAAAUCUGAUAAAGAUAUUUAUUUACUAGAGUUUUAUAGGAGAAAGGGAGAACUUUUGGAGGAAAGAUAUAAUUUUUUAAUACCAAUAGGACUGAUAACGGCGAAGGCGACUUUCUAUGUAAAAACUGACGUUGAGGGACGAAGGCUUGGGGAGCGAAAAGGAUUAGAUACCCUAAUAGUCCAAGCAGAAAAUUAUGAAUGCCAUAAGUUAGAUUCAACAUUUAACUUGUAUUAUAAGUUUAAAUGUACAAAUAUAUUUAACAUAUAAAUGAAAGUGUAAGCAUUCCACCUUAAGAGUAAGAUGGCAACAUUGAAACUGAAAUCAUUAGACCGUUUCUGAAACCAGUAGUGAAGUAUGUGUGCGACAAGAAACGUAUAUUAGUAAUGCGGUGAAAUUCCGCUAGGUCGUCUCUACCUAACACUAUCUACUCGCACGUACGGUUCUUAGAGGGGGAAAGCUCGAGAGAGCCUACCUAUCUCGACUAUUUAAUUCGAUAAUCCGCGAAAAAUCUUACCACAAUUUGUAUAAUAUUAAAUUAUUACAAGCGUUGCACGGCUGUCUGCAGUUAAUGUCGUGAGACAUGGUUAAUUCCUUUAAUUAACGCAAACCCUUACUUUAUUUAUCUAUAUAAAGUAACUCGCUAAAAAAAUGGUUAGAGAAUAGGGACCAAGACAAGUCAUCAUGACCAUAAUAUUGUGGGCUAUAGACGUGCCACACAUGCCUUAACAAAAGGAUGCUAUAUUGUAAAAUGGAGCUAAUCCUUAAAAUAGGAUAUAAUAUGGAUUGUUGUCUGUAACUCGACAACAUGAAUAAGGAAUUACUAGUAAUCGUGAAUCACCACGUCACGGUGAAUUUAUAAUCAGUUAGGUACUAACCACUCGUCAGGCGCUGAAAGAAGUAUGUGCAAUAAGUUUGAUUUGUGUUUAUUUUAAUAAAUAUUAUAAUAUAUUUAUAUUUUUACAUUAAAUUUUCGUAUGUAUGACUUUAAUUGGUGUUAAGUCGCAAUAAGGUUCGUGUAAUGGAAAUUGCACGGG
rnacentral:rRNA from 1 species